CAGGAACCACUAGGGGGCGCCCCUGCUGGGGAGGGUCUGGUCUGAUCGCCUUAACCUGGUCUCUGUUCAGCUUUGACUGCGCUUCAGAAUCCACCCAGACUCACCGAAGGACGCAGUUAUUCCUGAAUGAGGCAAAAGGACACAGCUUCUCAGUGUCUGCCUGUCAGACUUCUUGGCCUCGGGCUGAAAAUUUUAUGUAGUUCUCAGGAGUUCCUGCAAGGCUGGCUUCAAGGAGCCCCUUCACCUCACCCUCCCAGACCACAGAGAGCAGCAAGAAUCCUUCCAGGCAGACUAGGUUGGAUUGGAUUCAGGAGCCUAAUUACCACCAGAAAAUUAAAGAAAGACCUACAGUUCUCAAAAUCUGGAUAUCAUCUGAGUGCUAUAAAGUGCUGGCCGAGGAUCAUCAUUCUUAAUAAGCUCCCAGUGAUGCUGGUGCUGCCGGAUUGUAAGCCACACUUUGAGGCAAAGCCUUGGAUUGCUGAGUGUUCUGGCAAUGUCUUUUUAUUAUACCUGAAACCACCUGCAUUUGCAAUAUUGUGGGUAGAAUUUAUUCUGCUAGGCCUGGUAAGGCCCUGCUAAGUGCUUUUUUUUCUGUCUCUCUCUCAUUGAACACCUUCAAUGUCCCACGUAUUGUGUGGAGCAUAUUACACAUGUCAUCCCAUUGAAUUCCCUCUUUUUCUCAUUCAAACUUCCAAACAGGUGCGUGGCCUCUUCACUCAGUUCCUAGUAACCUUUGCUCAAAAUGUCACCUUUCCCAUGUGGACUUACCCA
ensembl:lncRNA